rnacentral:rRNA from 1 species
GACGAACGCUGGCGGCGUGCUUAACACAUGCAAGUCGAACGGAAAGGCCCUGCUUUUGUGGGGUGCUCGAGUGGCGAACGGGUGAGUAACACGUGAGUAACCUGCCCUUUACUUUGGGAUAACUUCAGGAAACUGGGGCUAAUACCGGAUAGGAGCUCCUGCUGCAUGGUGGGGUUUGGAAAGUUUCGUCGGUUGGGGAUGGACUCGCGGCUUAUCAGCUUGUUGGUGGGGUAGUGGCUUACCAAGGCUUUGACGGGUAGCCGGCCUGAGAGGGUGACCGGCCACAUUGGGACUGAGAUACGGCCCAGACUCCUACGGGAGGCAGCAGUGGGGAAUAUUGCACAAUGGGCGGAAGCCUGAUGCAGCAACGCCGCGUGCGGGAUGACGGCCUUCGGGUUGUAAACCGCUUUCGCCUGUGACGAAGCGUGAGUGACGGUAAUGGGUAAAGAAGCACCGGCUAACUACGUG